ACGUAGGGUGCGAGCGUUAAUCGGAAUUAUUGGGCGUAAAGAGCACGUAGGCGGCCUUGCAAGUCAGUUGUGAAAGCCUUCCGCUUAACGGAAGAACGGCAUCUGAUACUACAGGGCUUGAGUACGGGAGGGGAGAGUGGAACUUCUGGUGGAGCGGUGAAAUGCGUAGAUAUCAGAAGGAACGCCGGCAGCGAAAGCGACUCUCUGGUCCGAAACUGACGCUGAGUGUGCGAAAGCUAGGGGAGCAAACGG
rnacentral:rRNA from 1 species